rnacentral:rRNA from 1 species
AACGAACGCUAGCGGCAGGCCUAACACAUGCAAGUCGAACGGACAUCGAAGUUGGUUCGCCAAUGGAGAUGUUAGUGGCAGACGGGUGAGGAAUACAUAGGAAUCUACCUAGUAGUAUGGAAUAGGCACUGGAAACGGUGAGUAAUACCACAUACGCCCUGCGGGGGAAAGAUUUAUCGCUAUUAGAUGAGCCUAUGCUGGAUUAGCUAGUUGGUGGGGUAAUGGCCUACCAAGGCAACGAUCCAUAGCUGGCCUGAGAGGGUGACCAGCCACACGGGAACUGAGAUACGGUGCAGACUCUUACGGGAGGCAGCAGUGGGUAAUAUUGGGCAGUGGGCGCAGGCCUGACCCAGCCAUGCCGCAUGAGUGAAGAAGGCCUUCGGGUUGUAAAGCUCCUUCAGCGGGGAAGAUUAUGACGGUACCAGCAGAAGAAGUCCUGGCUAACUCCGUGCCAGCCGCCGCCGUAA